rnacentral:rRNA from 1 species
AAAGCAUCUAAGCGGGAAGCCAGCCUCGAGAUGAGGUAUCCCUGAAGACCCCUGGUAGACUACCAGGUGGAUAGGCGGGACGUGUAAGCGUUGCGAGACGUUUAGCUAACCCGUACUAAUCGGUCGUUCGGCUUGACCAU